GAUUUCAUUUGGCAAAGCCGGCGAAAGCCGGUGACGCAAAGCUAGAGGGCCUUGUAUCCGUUAUUCGGUAUGUGGCAGCCAGUUGCAAAA
rfam:Lachnospiraceae bacterium 3_1_57FAA_CT1 genomic scaffold acsNT-supercont1.4, whole genome shotgun sequence.